UCUCUGGUUGUACUGUGGCUUUUUGGGGCAGGGAGACAGAGUGAACUAUAAAGGGUUUUAUACAAGCUGAGGAGUGGAGUUAAACUGGAAGGCAGUCUGCAUGUUUGUAUGGAAACAAUUCUUUCAUGAGUUGCAAUUCUGUUUGAUUCCAGAUGUAAAAAGCCACAGGGAGAGAAAGAUGCAUAUGAGUCUUGACACCUAAAUCCAGGAUGAUGCUGCACUUGAAGUGCUAUCCUAACCUCACCGAAAAGACUACAUUUAGCAAAAGUAUUCUCUGUGCAUUUCUUUUCCUAAGCAAUAAUGAUUCUGAACAAGCAGGAUAGAAAUUCUUCCAGUUAUAUUAAAGGAUCCACAUACUUUUUUGGGGAAGAAAAGAUUUUCCCACACAACCAUCUCUGGGGAUUAAAAAGAGGAACAUAUGCAGUGAGCAGCAGUCCUUUGAGUAAAAAUGCCUUGUUGAUGUCAGAGGUCAGAGGAGAAUGGCGAGACUGCUUCAAGAUAAUAGGAAAGCAGAAAUAACUCAAAUAACCACUCAUAUCAACCAAGGUGUGUAGAAAGACAUCUCUGAAUAACACAUUGAAUCCUGUAGCAGAUGGUCUACAACAGCAGAAGACUACAUCAGGUCCCACUCCUGUCAACUAAGACAGCACAGGCUCACCAAAAUUGGAAAUUAGAAGACUGGAAAAACAAUAUGAGCAACAUUCAGAAGUUCUUGACAGGGAAGCACGUUUUCUUUCUGGCUGCUUCUCUGUGGUCUGACCAGAAACUAACUCAUCCUUAUUCUAGAAAGUGAACCACAACAUGUGGCAACAGAGCCCACAAACAUGAGCUCAUUCCUCUUGAGGGAAACUAGCAACUGAAAAAAACAGAGAUAGAAAGAGAGAAAGUCCCAGUGUUCCUCUCCACAUCCAUUUGUCUUUGGACUACAUUCCUGCUCCUCUUCCUCAAAUGAAAUGGUUAUCCCUGCAAACAAUGAGAAGACUGAGCUGCAGGAGCAUCUGCAGCAUGUGAAGUGGGACAUGAAACAAAAAUUGGCUCACAAGGUCGAGGUCAACUUCAGCAUCAGCACAUUCUUUGAGCCAAGGCGUUGGAGAGAAAGCAGGCACGAACUGAAAAUGGCCCUAGUCUCUUCCUAACAUGCUUUUAUUUCCCACAUACUUUGUGAUCAGCAGGCCUCAGUAUGUUAUCGGGUAAUACUGAGACAAACAGCUGCUUACGUGCUGAAAUGUGGAUGUAUUAUUUGAGUAAAGCAAUAAAAAAUAAAGCUUCAUGCUUUGCUCUGGAAUGUCAGGUUUCAAAUUGCAUGUACCUGAUAUUGCCUUGCCAUGCCAUGCCAGAGAUAUAAGAUUGUGUGUAACUGUAAAAUAAAAUGACUAUUAUUUAUUUGCAAUAAAAUAACAUAAAACACACACCAAAGUACACACAGGACUUUUUAUUAGUAAGUUACAAUGCGGACACAUGCACUGCCAAGGACAUUUAAAAAAAAUAAUACUAUGACAUUUCAUCAUGUUUCAGUUAAACAAGUUAAGAAUCAAGCAGUUAAGUAAGAAAAGAUUUUUUCUGUUUAUAACAAUUAGAACAUGUAUGAUUGAACACAGAAGAAACAUGCACUUUACUGCACUGCAACAUAGAAAAUUAUCCUAAG